GCAAGGAUGACUUUUAACGAGUUUGAAGGUCUAUAUGCAUUAAUCUCAUCAAAGUGUACCUUAUAUGAUUCACGGAUGACUCGGUGUAGAUUGAUAGAGCCCAUCUAUAUGUGGGUAUGGUCCAUUCUAGAUUAAGCCCAAAUUAUAUGACUCAACUACCUUUAGCACGGUUGGUUGCAGGUGGAUGCCUAAAUAUAAUCUCUU
rnacentral:misc_RNA from 1 species